rnacentral:rRNA from 1 species
GACGAACGCUGGCGGCGUGCUUAACACAUGCAAGUCGAACGGUGAAGCUCCAGCUUGCUGGAGUGGAUCAGUGGCGAACGGGUGAGUAACACGUGAGCAACCUGCCCCUGACUCUGGAAUAAGCGCUGGAAACGGCGUCUAAUACUGGAUACGAGAAGGGUCCGCAUGGGCACUUUCUGGAAAGUUUUUCGGUUGGGGAUGGGCUCGCGGCCUAUCAGCUUGUUGGUGAGGUAAUGGCUCACCAAGGCGACGACGGGUAGCCGGCCUGAGAGGGCGACCGGCCACACUGGGACUGAGACGCGGCCCAGACUCCUACGGGAGGCAGCAGUGGGGAAUAUUGCACAAUGGGCGAAAGCCUGAUGCAGCGACGCCGCGUGAGGGAUGACGGCCUUCGGGUUGUAAACCUCUUUCAGCAGGGAAGAAGCGAAAGUGACGGUACCUGCAGAAGAAGCACCGGCUAACUACGU